CCUGAUGCUAAAGAUGUUGCAGUAUGGCUGCUAUGUCAUAUAUGUGUUAGUAGGAUGGCAAAGAAGAGAAAGACUAUGUCUACACUCAAUAUUCAGAACAAUGAACAGCUUAAUGAUUAGUAGUCUAAGAUG